GAGCACGCCGCGUGGAGUGAUGAAGGCUUUCGGGUCGUAAAACUCUGUUGUUAGGGAAGAACAAGUAUGAGAGUAACUGCUCGUACCUUGACGGUACCUAACCAGAAAGCCACGGCUAACUACGUGCCAGCAGCCGCGGUAAUACGUAGGUGGCAAGCGUUAUCCGGAAUUAUUGGGCGUAAAGCGCGCGCAGGCGGUUUCUUAAGUCUGAUGUGAAAGCCCACGGCUCAACCGUGGAGGGUCAUUGGAAACUGGGGAACUUGAGUGCAGAAGAGAAAAGCGGAAUUCCACGUGUAGCGGUGAAAUGCGUAGAGAUGUGGAGGAACACCAGUGGCGAAGGCGGCUUUUUGGUCUGUAACUGACGCUGAGGCGCGAAAGCGUGGGGAGCAAACAGGAUUAGAUACCCCCGGUAGAAG
rnacentral:rRNA from 1 species